GAUGAACGCUGGCGGCGUGCCUAAUACAUGCAAGUCGAGCGAACGGACGAGAAGCUUGCUUCUCUGAUGUUAGCGGCGGACGGGUGAGUAACACGUGGAUAACCUACCUAUAAGACUGGGAUAACUUCGGGAAACCGGAGCUAAUACCGGAUGAUAUUUUGAACCGCAUGGUUCAAAAGUGAAAGACGGUCUUGCUGUCACUUAUAGAUGGAUCCGCGCUGCAUUAGCUAGUUGGUAAGGUAAUGGCUUACCAAGGCAACGAUGCAUAGCCGACCUGAGAGGGUGAUCGGCCACACUGGAACUGAGACACGGUCCAGACUCCUACGGGAGGCAGCAGUAGGGAAUCUUCCGCAAUGGGCGAAAGCCUGACGGAGCAACGCCGCGUGAGUGAUGAAGGUCUUCGGAUCGUAAAACUCUGUUAUUAGGGAAGAACAUAUGUGUAAGUAACUGUGCGCAUCUUGACGGUACCUAAUCAGAAAGCCACGGCUAACUACGUG
rnacentral:rRNA from 1 species